UCCUGCACCGCGGCCGCCGGCAUCUGCCCAACUCGCUCGCGCUUUCCGCCCAGGGUUCUGAAAAAUAGAAGAAAAAAGGACAGGCUAGAGUGCAGUGGCGCCAUCUCAGCUAACUGCAACCUCUGCCUCCCAGGUUCAAGCGAUUCUCCUGCCUCAACCUCCCGAGUAGCUGGGAAUACAGCUGCACGCUUCCAUUCCCAGCCCCAGCCAGAGAAGAGGAGCCAACUCCUCACGGCGGAUCCCUUGAUAGAGGAGGAUGAACCGAAU